GGCUGGACUAGCGACGGGAACGGAGGGGGAGAAGAGAACACAGAUCAGGAACCGGGAAGAGAAAGAUUCACAAAAACUGAUGGAUGGUAAUGAGGAACCCUACCUCAAAAUGAAGGCCAAUGAAGCUAGGCAAGAUUUGGCACCUCCAUCCGUCUCACCACAGGAUUCAGGGAUGUACUCACAACAUAUUGAUGUCCAGGAUGAAUUCUUCAGUCAGGAAGGAUUCACAUACACGGGAUUCCUUCUUGGUGCUAUGACGGGGUCUGCAAAUAAUCAAGAACCU